UAAGGAAUAUUGCGCAAUGGGGGAAACCCUGACGCAGCGACGCCGCGUGUGGGAUGAAGGUCUUCGGAUUGUAAACCACUGUCGCGAGGGACGAAGCUCUGACGGUACCUCGAAAGGAAGCACCGGCUAACUCUGUGCCAGCAGCCGCGGUAAUACAGAGGGUGCGAGCGUUGUCCGGAAUCACUGGGCGUAAAGGGCGCGUAGGCGGCCCGGUAAGUAGGGGGUGAAAUCUCAUGGCUCAACUGUGAGGCUGCCUUCUAGACUGCCAGGCUUGAGCACAGUAGAGGCGAGUGGAAUUCCCGGUGUAGCGGUGGAAUGCGUAGAGAUCGGGAAGAACAUCGGUGGCGAAGGCGGCUCGCUGGGCUGUUGCUGACGCUGAGGCGCGAAAGCGUGGGGAGCAAACAGGAUUAGAUACCCUUGUAGUCCCUGAGCGGGCUGGCAAGGCGCAU
rnacentral:rRNA from 1 species